rnacentral:rRNA from 1 species
UAACUGAAGAGUUUGAUCAUGGCUCAGAUUGAACGCUGGCGGCAGGCUUAACACAUGCAAGUCGAGCGGGGGGAGGUAGCUUGCUACCGGACCUAGCGGCGGACGGGUGAGUAAUGCUUAGGAAUCUGCCUAUUAGUGGGGGACAACAUCUCGAAAGGGAUGCUAAUACCGCAUACGUCCUACGGGAGAAAGCAGGGGAUCUU